CAAGUUCUUUGGGUCAGUAGUAGGUUAAGGACUCGCAACUUUAUCUAGAGAAGGUGAAGAAGAUCACCCAAAUUAUGCAUGUUUCUGAGAAGGAGAGUGUUGAGUUAGUAUCUUAUAGGUUGAAGGAUAUUGCUCAUAAUUGGGUAGUGAUGUUGGAAUAGAAUAGAGGGGAGAAUGCAGCACCUGUGAUUUGUCUAGAGUUUCAGAGUGCCUUUCUAGAUAGGUUUUUUCUGCUAGAGUUG
rnacentral:lncRNA from 1 species